rnacentral:rRNA from 1 species
UUUUGAAAAUAAUUUAAAGUUUAACCUGCUCAAUGAUAAUUUAAAUAGCUGCAGUAAUUUAACUGUACAAAGGUAGCAUAAUCAAUAGUUUUUUAAUUGAAAGCUGGAAUGAAUGGUUUGAUGAAAAAUAAUUUAUUUUAAUUUAAAAUUUAGAAUUUUUUUUUUUUAUAAAAAAGUUAAAUUGAUUUUAAAAGACGAGAAGACCCUAUAGAUUUUUAUAAAUAUUACAUAAUUAAAAAAAAUUUAAUUUAAUUAUUUUAUUUAUUUAAAUUUAUUUAAUUGGGGUGAUUUUUAAAUUAAUAAAACUUUAAUUAAUAAAUUUACAAGAAUUGUUGAAUUUUUGAUCUUAUAUUUAUAGAUUAAAAAAAUAAAUUACCUUAGGGAUAACAGCGUGAUUUUUU